AAUGCUACAACGGAAAAAACAACGGAAAAUCAUCCAAUUGUUCAAAGAAAGAAAAGUGUUGUUAGACAACUUGGCUGAGGUGUCCGGGGACACAGAUGAAAAAUUGAAGGCCGAAGAGGCGAUAAAAAAUAAUCAACAAGCACUUGACGAAUUGUUUAGAGAACAAGACUUGUUUGACAACUUGGCUGAGGGAUCAAUGGAUACAACAGAAGAGGUUUGACCUGAGCCAUCCAAUGACCCUAAAUAAUUGAAGAAUGUAGGUGGUGUUUCCAUGGACGCAGGAAACCCAAGCACGCUGCGUCGAUAUUUUCUUCUUUCUUCUUUUCUUCUUCUUUCUUGUGCUAUUUGUUCAUGAUUUUGUUCUUUUUUGAUCCCCGUUGACCUGUCACGGACCCUUUUUGUUAUUCCCCCUUUUUCCGCAAUGGCGUGUUUUAUUUUUUUGUUUGUAUUAAUAAACCCUUGUUUGCAUCCCCUC